UGCCAGCCGCCGCGGUAAUACAAAGGGUACAAGCGUUAAUCAGAAUCACUAAGCGUAAAGCGCGCGUAGGCGGUUGUGUAAGUCGGAUGUGAAAGCCCAGGGCUUAACCUUGGAACUGCAUUCGAUACUGCAUGACUAGAGUGUGGUAGAGGGAAGUGGAAUUUCCGGUGUAGCGGUGAAAUGCGUAGAUAUCGGAAGGAACAUCAGUGGCAAAAACAACUUCCUAGACCAACACUAACACUAAAAUACGAAAGCAUAAAUAGCAAACAGGAUUAGAUA
rnacentral:rRNA from 1 species